AAAGUCUGUAAUUUAGAAUAAAAAGAGCUCUCCCAAGACCGGAGAGGCUGACCUCAGCGCCGCGUGGCGGUGGUGUCCCCGGCGCCCUCGGUGGAGACGAUCCAGGUUGUGACAGGUGGGGAAUCCUCUUCCUAGGGGAUUUCUAGCUUCAAAGAUCUUGCCAAUUCUCCCCUUCGGAGUCCUGUUGCAAAAUUCAGCCAGCCUCUUCUGUAAUAUGGUGGGGGUCGAGGACGUGAAUCCACCGAGUAAAGCAACUUUGCAGCUUCCUGAACCGGCGUGCUUUCAGAUUACAGCUGUGUUAAGUUUGGCACUUGAAGUUCAAAUAAAAAACUGCCCGGUCAGCAGCAGGGAGCCAGAUGUUAUGGAGAAGAAGUGAUAACGGGGAAUGUGUUCUUUCCUCAGAGGAAGUUGAAAUAAGACAAGACUUCGGGAGAAUGUUGCUCAAUUGUUCAGACCAAAAGCUUCAGCUCACCUCUGAAGAAGCCCAGAUGGUAUCUUCAAACAAAAAGGAGCCUUCCAGAGGGCUGGCUUCCAGGACCAGCUCACGGUCCAUCAGCGACGCAACUGACACCCUCUGGGGCUCCGGGACUGCCACCGCAAAGGGAGGAGCCCGGGAGACCUCCCCGAGGCCUCCAGGCCUGUGACUCAUUUCCUCGUUGGACCUUUCUUGUCUGCGCUGGAAGAUUUUACUAUACAUUUAUAUCCAGGUCAGCACUUUGCUGGAAAAGCCACUGACCCAAGCACUCAGAUUCAUUGACCUAAGUCCCAGGCCGGAAAUUGGAACUCUCUGGAAGGAAGCAGGUCUACUCUAUUUCAUUGUGAGAUGAGAGUAUUUAAGAACCACUGGCAGACAGGCUGGAGAAGUUUCCCCUGCCUAACUUCGAGGAGAGGAUGGGCCAUGCAAGUGGCGGACGGGAGCGGAUGCAGUUUUAAGUAGUGAAGUGAAGAAUCUUCUGUGGCUUCCUGUAGAUGGUAUCAGGAAUACAAGUGGGAAACCAAGUUGCUGUUUCUCUGUUUCCAGCCUGAUGGCGGGGAGAGAACAUGGACCGAAAUCCAGAAGAGUCCCAACUCUGCGCAUCAAUCAGAUUCACUCAAAUGAAUGAGACUCUCUCCUGAAACACAAAUGUUCCCUGGGAGAAUGAUGCCUAGUGGUCACUCACACUUAGAAUACAGUAUUUUAACCAAAUCCUCUUCCCUGUCUUAACUUCUGGAGUCAGACCUGCUUCCUGCUUCACGCUGGAGACAAUCCGCGGGCGACUCAUCUGCAAACUCAAACUACGGGGCGCCCUACGCUUUCCUUCCGCCGGCUUGAGGAGUGGAAGAAAUACUGGCUUUUCUUGCCUUGCUUGAAAACAGAGGUCUUGACUAGUUUCAAUCAGCUGGAAAAUAAUGUUUUAUUAAAACAACUCACGAUGACUUGUAAAAAACAGGAAAGG